rnacentral:rRNA from 1 species
UGCCAGCAGCCGCGGUAAUACGGAGGGUGCGAACGUUAAUCGGAAUUACUGGGCGUAAAGCGCGCGUAGGCGGUUUAUUAAGUGGGAUGUGAAAGCCCUGGGCUCAACCUGGGAACUGCAUUCCAAACUGACAAACUAGAGUACGAGAGAGGGGGGUAGAAUUCAGAGUGUAGCGGUGAAAUGCGUAGAUAUUCUGAGGAAUACCAGUGGCGAAGGCGGCCCCCUGGCUUGAUACUGACGCUGAGGUGCGAAAGCGUGGGGAGCAAACAGGAUUAGAUA